UGCUUUUUAACAGACAGAGGCAAUAAUAGAAAGAGUGUAUGAAGUCACACAACUGGCUAGAGAUUCCAUGGAGAAUACGUCCUACAUUCUGGACGUUAUGACCCCUGAGGUAACCCUCAUUAUUCUCCACAAGACUGAGGGCUUUCACAGGUACCAGGGAGAAAUGGCAUUACAGUCAAACAUUUCUUUGGAGGUGCAAUGUACUAAUCCACCAUGGUUCUAAUUGAACGUCAGCAAGAAUCUUUUCCCAACCCUUUUUGAGGAGAUGGGAUUUCAUAAAUAGGUUUCAUGUUACAUAUGUAAAAUGUUAUGUAAGACAUGUAAAAUAUUAUAGUAUCAUUGUAUGUUACUGCUGUAACAAUAUAAAUAACUUGACUGUAAUUUAAAAUAAAUACACCCUGUGGGGGAAGUUGCUGAGAUUCACUGGGGGGACUAAGAUAGUCAAACACAAUAAAUAUAUAUACUUUUUUAAACAUUACAUGUAUAUAACAUUUGUAAUAUACUUUUGCUUGCUAUUAAAAGUUUUUUUUCCAUACUGGCUGUGUACACCACCAAACAUGUUGAAAUGAUAUUAAGCACUUUAAACAAAUUUUAUGUAGUAAUUGGUUUUAUAAUUUUUAUCUAAUACAUUUAGCUUUAAGGAAACCGUAUUUAUAUAUCAUAUUU